rnacentral:misc_RNA from 1 species
UGGCUCUCGCAUCGAUGAAGAACGCAGCGAAAUGCGAUAAGUAAUGUGAAUUGCAGAAUUCAGUGAAUCAUCGAAUCUUUGAACGCACCUUGCGCCCUCUGGUAUUCCGGAGGGCAUGCCUGUUUGAGUGUCUUGAUAUCAUCAACCCCUCGGGUUCGCGCCCGAAGCGGGUUGGAGUUGGGGGCUUGCUGCCGUGAGGCGGCUCCCCUUAAAAUCAUCGGUUCGGCCCGCACUGCGGCUGGCACCUUUGGCGUUGUAUCUCCCUCGCCUUUGAUCGGUCCUGCUCGCUUCCGCGCCUCACCUCGACUUGCCCUUUGGGUGGCGGUCACUUCUUGACAAUCUGGCCUCAAAUCAGGUAGGACUACCCGCUGA